CUAGCAAAGCAUUAACAUUAAGACAAUAGGGAGUUCUGGAGAAAUGGUUUACUCUGCCAGUCUCAAGUAUUUGUCAAUGGGCUGCAGGUUAUAAGGAAAUUGAGUUCCAUCUGCCAUUUCCUUCGGCCUUUGUUUCUCACAUC